GCAUCGAUGGUUCAGUGGUAGAAUGCUCGCCUGCUACGCGGGCGGCCCGGGUUCGAUUCCCGGUCGAUGCA
rnacentral:tRNA from 2 species